rnacentral:rRNA from 1 species
GCCUGAUCCAGCCAUGCCGCGUGUGUGAAGAAGGUCUUCGGAUUGUAAAGCACUUUAAGUUGGGAGGAAGGGCAGUAAAUUAAUACUUUGCUGUUUUGACGUUACCGACAGAAUAAGCACCGGCUAACUCUGUGCCAGCAGCCGCGGUAAUACAGAGGGUGCAAGCGUUAAUCGGAAUUACUGGGCGUAAAGCGCGCGUAGGUGGUUCGUUAAGUUGGAUGUGAAAUCCCCGGGCUCAACCUGGGAACUGCAUUCAAAACUGUCGAGCUAGAGUAUGGUAGAGGGUGGUGGAAUUUCCUGUGUAGCGGUGAAAUGCGUAGAUAUAGGAAGGAACACCAGUGGCGAAGGCGACCACCUGGACUGAUACUGACACUGAGGUGCGAAAGCGUGGGGAGCAAACA